rnacentral:rRNA from 1 species
GCAAUAUGAAGGUCAGGCUGAAGACCUUACCCGAUUAGCUGAGAGGUGGUGCAUGGCCGUCGUCAGUUCGUACUGUGAAGCAUCCUGUUAAGUCAGGCAACGAGCGAGACCCACGUCCACAGUUGCCGGCAUACCCUCCGGGGUGAUGGGUACACUGUGGAGACCGCCGCUGCUAAAGCGGAGGAAGGAGUGGGCAACGGUAGGUCAGUAUGCCCCGAAUCUCCCGGGCUACACGCGGGCUACAAUGGUUGGUACAAUGGGCAUCUACCCCGAAAGGGGAAGGAAAUCUCUUAAAGCCAAUCGUAGUUCGGAUUGAGGGCUGCAACUCGCCCUCAUGAAGCUGGAAUCCGUAGUAAUCGCGUUUCAACAGAACGCGGUGAAUACGUCCCUGCUCCUU